GUGAUCCAGCGGACUGAAAAACAACAUGCCGUACUCCAAAGAGAAGAAGGAAACCCAACUACUAGCGUGCCUUCCCCUUUCAUGAAAAAAUCCACAAGAUGCUGGAAGCAAAGCAGCCAUCCUGGGACCCCAAGGGUGACAAGAACAUGCUAAAGAUGAUUGGGUGGAAAGAGACAAGGAAGCCAUUUCUCCACUGGCAUCAUGGAGCCACUGUACCCAUCCUGGAUUUCUGACGUCUGGACUCUUAUUGGGUAGUGCUGUCCUCAGUCUCUUGGGACAUACUUCUUUCCGGAUCUGGCACAAACUACCCCUCAGGGCUUAAAGACAUGCAGAUGACAGAUGAU